GAGGGUGUAGCUCAAGUGGUAGAGCGCGUGCUUAGCACGCAAGGGGCCCUGGGUUCAAUCCCCAGGACUUCUG
rnacentral:tRNA from 1 species